UGGGGAAUCUUGCACAAUGGGGGAGACCCUGAUGCAGCGACGCCGCGUGAGCGAUGAAGCCCUUCGGGGUGUAAAGCUCUUUCGGCAGGGACGAUUAUGACGGUACCUGCAGAAGAAGCUGCGGCUAACUACGUGCCAGCAGCCGCGGUAAUACGUAGGCAGCAAGCGUUGUUCGGAAUUACUGGGCGUAAAGAGUGCGUAGGCGGUUGGGCAAGUCUGUUGUGAAAUCUCCCGGCUUAACUGGGAGGGUGCGGUGGAAACUGCUCGACUAGAGUGUGGGAGAGGAAAGUGGAAUUCCUGGUGUAGCGGUGAAAUGCGUAGAUAUCAGGAGGAACACCUGCGGUGUAGACGGCUUUCUGGACCACUACUGACGCUGAGGCACGAAAGCGUGGGGAGCAAACA
rnacentral:rRNA from 1 species